CCCUUAGAUGUUCUGGGCCGCACGCGCGCUACACUGAUGCAUUCAACGAGUCUAAAACCUGGUCUGAUAGGGCUGGGUAAUCUUUUGAAAGUGCAUCGUGAUUGGGAUAGAUGAUUGCAAUUCUUCAUCUUCAACGAGGAAUGCCUAGUAAACGCAAGUCAUCAGCUUGCAUUGAUUACGUCCCUGCCCUUUGUACACACCGCCCGUCGCUCCUACCGAUUGAAUGAUCCGAUGAAUACCAUGGACUGAGAGUAUGAAUGGGUUCGCCUAUUUCUGCUUCUCGGGAAGUGGAGUAAAUCUUAACAUUUAGAGGAAGGAGAAGUCGUAACA
rnacentral:rRNA from 1 species